AUACCUUUCUCGACCUUUUGGCUAAGAUCAAGUGUAGUAUCUGUUCUUAUCAGUUUAAUAUCUGAUACGUGGGUCAUCGAUCCACUAUGAUAUUAAAUUAAUUUGUUGUGGGGGAGGGUUCACCAUAGUGGCUUACCAUUGGGACUCUCACGCGUCGUCGCCUAUGCGUUGCGCUACUGCAUGGGCCUGGCAUGCCUCAA